AUGCCGCCGCCGCACACCACCGCGCCCUCCCCUCACCUUGGCCCCAAGUCGGGCAGUGCGAGGCGGCGCUUCCAGACCGCGAUGGCCGCAACCUUGCCCACUCCGAUCUGGAUCCAUGGUGCACUCCUUCCUCCCUCUGGAUCGAUGGCCGCAGCCUCGCCGAUGGAUCCAGCGCCUGCCGGAGACGAGGGCUGCCAGAUCCGCGACCUGGGACGCUCCUCCUGUAGGAUACGGGAGCAGCACACCGCACCCUGCAGUCGUCGGUCCGGGACGAGCGCAGCAGCUCGAGGAAGCCGGCGACAAACGCCGGCGCUCCUCUGCUCCAUCGACCUGGACGGCUGCUACUCCGCCAAAGACGCCGCCUACAGGUUCGCCAACUCCUCUCAGCUCUUGCGCAUGUGCUCUGCUCCAUCAACGGUUGCAACUAUUCCUAAUUUUUUGUUCUUGUUCGAUUUGGAUUUGGAUGCAGGAGGUGCUCUACUCUUGCGCAUGUCUGGUGGCGUCUCCGGCGCAGUGGUACUUCUUGAGGUCCGGCUUGUGGGGAUUGUCAGCGGCAAGGCAGAGCGGAACACGGACGUGUCCUUCACGCUCGACGACGGCACCGGCCGUAUCGACUUCAUCAGAUGCCUGGAGCAGAAGGUGAUUCCCUAA
rnacentral:rRNA from 1 species